CCUACGUGAGGCAGCAGUGAGGAAUAUUGGUCAAUGGCCGAGAGGCUGAACCAGCCAAGUCGCGUGAGGGAAGAAUGUCCUAUGGAUUGUAAACCUCUUUUGUCAGGAAGCAAAGUCACCCACGUGUGGGUGUUGGAGAGUACCUGCAGAACAAGCAUCGGCUAACUCCGUGCCAGCAGCCGCGGUAAUACGGAGGCUGCGAGCGUUAUCCGGCUUUAUUGGGUUUAACGGGUUCGUGGGCGGGUUAUCAAGUCAGCGGUAAAAUCGGGGAGCUCAACUCCAUCAAGCCGUUGAAACUGAUGAUCUUGAGUGUGCGAGAAGGAUGCGGAAUGCGUGGUGUAGCGGUGAAAUGCAUAGAUAUCACGCAGAACUCCGAUUGCGAAGGCAGCAUACCGGCGCCCGACUGACGCUGAAGCACGAAAGCGUGGGUAUCGAACAGGAUUAGAUACCCUAGUAGUC
rnacentral:rRNA from 1 species